GACGAAGGGGCUAGCGUUGUUCGGAAUUACUGGGCGUAAAGCGCGUGUAGGCGGUUGCCCAAGUCGGGUGUGAAGCCUUGAGCUCAACUCAAGAAAUGCACUCGGUACUGGUGACUAGAGGACCGGAGAGGAUAGUGGAAUUCCCAGUGUAGUGGUGAAAUACGUAGAGAUUGGGAAGAACACCAGUGGCGAAGGCGGCUAUCUGGACGGUUCUGACGCUAAGACGCGAAAGCGUGGGAGCGAACAGG
rnacentral:rRNA from 1 species